GUGGUGUAUGAAAGAAGAAGGUGAGCAAUCCCUUUGGCAAGGAUGGAAAAGGCUCUUAGGCCUUACAAAAUGCAUCCAGUUAAGACACUGCCAUCUACUCCGUGAGGUUUUUUGGGGUUUUUU